GGCAGCGGGGGUAGCUUGCUACCUGCCGGCGAGUGGCGAACGGGUGAGUAAUACAUCGGAACGUGCCCUGUAGUGGGGGAUAACUAGUCGAAAGACUAGCUAAUACCGCAUACGACCUGAGGGUGAAAGUGGGGGACCGCAAGGCCUCAUGCUAUAGGAGCGGCCGAUGUCUGAUUAGCUAGUUGGUGGGGUAAAGGCCCACCAA
rnacentral:rRNA from 1 species